CAUUGUGCUACACUCUAUGAACUACCCGUGUGCAAUACAUUCUGAAUGUUAUUAGGAAGCAAUUUAGAUUGAAAAUGUAUGUCGUGUGCUCUCUUUAAAUGACCCGCCCUUUGUGUCUAAUCCAGAGACAUCUGAACCUGAGGAGCAGCGAGUUCUCCACAGAGAGCUUCAGGGUCACCUGGGAACACUCAGCCAAAGACGUGGUCCUCUACAGACUCACCUGGACCCCAACCAGAGGAGGAGCACUAAUGAGACGCAGGUGAAUGGUAACAUGAACACCUACCUUCUGACUGGACUGAUUCCCAACACUGAAUACAAGGUGGGCGUGUCCGCCAUCUUCAGAGACAAGUUUGAAAGUGACGCCAUGACCAUCAAAGAGUCAACAGGUAAAUUACAGGAUAUAUAGCUAAUCUAACCACUCUCAAGGACUUACACACCUACUGCAGACCUACAAUUACAAAGUCGCAUUCACUUUGUAAUUGCACUGUUGAACUUUCAACAUAACAAGGCCAACGUAGUUGAUUAUAGCUGAGUAUGUAUAGUGAUACUAUUAGGUAACUUUAGGUGAAAAAGGUCUAACAAACAAUUAUACAAAAAGACAGCAGGGUUUACCAAACAAUUAUACAAAAAGACAGCAGGGUUUACCAAACAAUUAUACAAAAAGACAGCAGGGUUUACCAAACAAUUAUACAAAAAGACAGCAGGGUUUACCAAACAAUUAUACAAAAAGACAGCAGGGUUUACUAAA
rnacentral:lncRNA from 1 species